rnacentral:rRNA from 1 species
AUGAGGCCGAGGAAUGGGUACGUCAAGCUGAAUGUGGAUGCGGGGUUCGACCAUGAUUCACUAGAGGGAUCUGUGGGGGCUAUCAUUAAAGACCACAAUGGUAAUUUCGUGGCAGCGGCGAAUGAAAAACUGAACAUAUGCUAUGAUGCAAUUACCGCAGAAGCAAUUGCAGUAAGGUUUGGCUUGAAUCUAGCUCGUGGCGCUGGAUGCAACAAGAUCGAGUUAAAUUCGAAUAGUCUUGAGGUCAUCAACGCGCUUAAAGAAGGGAGUUCUUCUUCGGUUGCCAGUGCCAUCUUUGAUGACUGUUUUUUUAUGUCCUUAGAUUUUACUCAUAUCAUCUUUGAACACUGCUGUAGAGAAAAUAAUAAAGUAGCUCAUGAGUUAGCUAGAGUAGUUAAAUUCAAUCCUCCUGGUGUUUGGCUGGAUACAGCCCCGGGGGCGGUUAUCCCCCUGACUGUUUCUGAUGCUACUAUUGUAGCUAAUUAA